rnacentral:rRNA from 1 species
UCUGUAGGCGGUGCGGCAAGUCGGGAGUGAAAUCUCGGGGGCUUAACUCCGAGUCUGCUUCCGAAACUGCUGUGCUCGAGUGUGGGAGAGGUGAGUGGAAUUGCAGGUGUAGCGGUGAAAUGCGUAGAUAUCUGCAGGAACACCAGAGGCGAAGGCGGCUCACUGGACCACAACUGACGCUGAGAGACGAAAGCUAGGGGAGCAAACAGGAUUAGAUACCCUGGUAGUCCUAGCCCUAAACCAUCAGGACUUGGCGUGGGUCCCGUUCGGGGCCCGUGUCGGAGCUAACGUGUGAAGUCCUGCGCCUGGGGAGUACGGUCGCAAGGCUGAA